GUCAGCGACCAUACCACGUAGAAAGCACCGGUUCUCGUCCGAUCACCGAAGUUAAACUACGCGGUGUUGCUGACU
rnacentral:rRNA from 1 species